GCAGCCAUUGAGCUCCUUGGCCGAGUGCAUCUCCAGCAUAGCCAGCACAUGCAUCUGGUUGCGGUUCUCGUGCAGGAUCUCGCAGGAUUCCGUGUCCGAGGUUUGCCUGCAAGGGUCACAAGCGCUCCAUAAUAUAAGGUUGGCCACCCGCACACCGGUUAUGAAAGCGGCGAACCUACACCAUAUGACAUGGAAUGGAAGCUGUCAUCAUGGUCAGUGAUGGGAAUAAAUCUCUAGUUGGGUCUAUUAUCAAGAAAAAUAACUGAAACAAGCAAAAUAUUUGAUAUUAAAGCUGAUUAUAUUGAAAUAA